UACCAGCACCCCGAGUGGUCGGGACGAUUAUUGGGCCUAAAGCAUCCGUAGCCGAUUCUACAAGUCUUCCGUUAAAUCCACCUGCUUAACAGAUGGGCUGCGGAGGAUACUAUAGAGCUAGGAGGCGGGAGAGGCAAGCGGUACUUAGUGGGUAGGGGUAAAAUCCGUUGAUCCAUUGAAGACCACCAGUGGCGAAGGCGGCUUGCCAGAACGCACUCGACGGUGAGGGAUGAAAGCUGGGGGAGCAAACCGG
rnacentral:rRNA from 1 species